CCAGAUUUGCCUGUUACCUGGAAGCAAGUGGACAGAAGUCACAAAGUAGAGCAGAUCUAUUAGGUUUUAAAGAAAGCAUUUUAGGUAGGAAGCCUCCGCUGCCAUAUUGCUCUGAGAACCGAAUGCAGGCAGAGGGGAUAAGCAGUGUGGGGUCCUGUAAUUGAGUGUGCGCCAUAGUUUCACGUCUGCUGGAAGAUUUAGUAGAAAAGUGAAGGUGGUCAGAAGCCCUGUUAUAAACAGUACAGAACUGUCAGUCUCCUUAACAAGCAUUGAGAUAUAUUUCUCCAUGAAGGCCUCACGGUGAAAAUCGGAGAUUUUGGUUUGGCAACAGUGAAGUCGCGCUGGAGUGGUUCUCAGCAGGUUGAACAGCCCACUGGCUCUGUGCUGUGGAUGGUGAGGAAGCUGGCCCCAUGUGAUCUCCCAAGCAUGAUGGAAGUCCUGCCCAGAGCAGGGUGCAACAUUGAUAGCCAGGGAGCCUAAGUCUAAAACCACGCAGCUCCUGGCAAGGCAACAGAGGCCAGAGUUUGGGGGUUGAGUCUUUAGGGAAGAGCUACCCUGGGCUAAGCACUUGAACCCCCUAACUAGUGGGAGCCUGGCUCCUCAAUGUCUCUGGAGGUCAUUACCAGGGACUAACACACUUCGUCUUUAUAGGCCCCAGAAGUAAUCCGAAUGCAGGAUAACAACCCGUUCAGCUUCCAGUCCGAUGUCUACUCCUAUGGCAUUGUGCUGUAUGAGCUGAUGACUGGGGAGCUUCCCUACUCCCACAUCAACAACCGAGACCAGGUAAUCUACAUGGGGCCUGGCAAAGCAGUAAGGGGCUAGUUAACUAGGCGGAUUUAACUCCUUUGCUCAACUGUUUCUUCUUCAGAUCAUCUUCAUGGUGGGCCGUGGGUACGCCUCCCCAGAUCUUAGCAGGCUCUACAAGAACUGCCCCAAGGCAAUGAAGAGGUUGGUGGCUGACUGUGUGAAGAAAGUCAAAGAAGAAAGGCCUUUGUUUCCUCAGAUCCUGUCUUCCAUUGAGCUGCUUCAGCACUCUCUGCCGAAAAUCAACAGGAGCGCCUCUGAGCCUUCCCUGCAUCGGGCAGCUCACACUGAGGACAUCAAUGCUUGUACGCUGACCACAUCCCCAAGGCUACCAGUCUUCUAGCUGAC
rnacentral:lncRNA from 1 species